rnacentral:rRNA from 1 species
ACUCGAGUGGCGAACGGGUGAGUAACACGUGGGUGAUCUGCCCUGCACUUCGGGAUAAGCCUGGGAAACUGGGUCUAAUACCGGAUAGGAGCCAUUUUUAGUGUGAUGGUUGGAAAGUUUUUUCGGUGUAGGAUGAGCUCGCGGCCUAUCAGCUUGUUGGUGGGGUAAUGGCCUACCAAGACGGCGACGGGUAGCCGGCCUGAGAGGGUGGACGGCCACAUUGGGACUGAGAUACGGCCCAGACUCCUACGGGAGGCAGCAGUGGGGAAUAUUGCACAAUGGGCGCAAGCCUGAUGCAGCGACGCCGCGUGGGGGAUGACGGCCUUCGGGUUGUAAACUCCUUUCGCUAGGGACGAAGCUUUUUGUGACGGUACCUAGAUAAGAAGCACCGGCUAACUACGUGCCAGCAGCCGCGGUAAUACGUAGGGUGCGAGCGUUGUCCGGAAUUACUGGGCGUAAAGGGCUCGUAGGUGGUUUGUCGCGUCGUCUGUGAAAUUCCCGGGGCUUAACUCCGGGCGUGCAGGCGAUACGGGCAUAACUUGAGUACUGUAGGGGUAACUGGAAUUCCUGGUGUAGCGGUGAAAUGCGCAGAUAUCAGGAGGAACACCGAUGGCGAAGGCAGGUUACUGGGCAGUUACUGACGCUGAGGAGCGAAAGC